rnacentral:rRNA from 1 species
UACGGAGGGUGCGAGCGUUAUCCGGAAUUACUGGGUUUAAAGGGUGCGUAGGCGGCCCUGUAAGUCAGGAGUGAAAGUUUGCGGCUCAACCGUAAAAUUGCUUUUGAUACUGCGGGGCUAGAGUUAGGAUGAGGUCAGCGGAAUGUGGCAUGUAGCGGUGAAAUGCAUAGAUAUUGGUUGGAACAUCAAUAGCGACAGCAUCACUCUAUUUUAGGACUGACACUGAAUCACUAAAGUGUGGGUAGCAAACCGG